rnacentral:rRNA from 1 species
AACUAACGCUGGCGGCGUGCCUAACACAUGCAAGUCGUACGAGAAAGCCGGCUUCGGCUGGUGAGUAAAGUGGCGCACGGGUGAGUAACGCGUGGAUAAUCUGCCCUUAAGUGUGGAAUAACGUACCGAAAGGUGCGCUAAUACCGCAUAAUGCCUGGCAACACAAGUUGUCCGGCCAAAGAAGGCCUCUGUUUACAAGCUUUCGCUUCAGGAUGAGUCCGCGUACCAUUAGCUUGUUGGUGGGGUAAUGGCCUACCAAGGCUGCGAUGGUUAGCUGGUCUGAGAGGAUGAUCAGCCACACUGGAACUGAGACACGGUCCAGACUCCUACGGGAGGCAGCAGUCGAGAAUAGUCUACAAUGGCCGGAAGGCUGAUAGUGCGACGCCGCGUGAACGAGGGAGCCCUUCGGGGUGUAAAGUUCUUUUCUAUACGAGCAGUGCUAUAUAUAUGGAUAGUAUAUAUAGAGGGAUAGUAGUAUAGGAAUAAGA